AUUCUCGGGGUACUCCACUAGCGGGGUUGAGAGAGUCCCAUUGAACCUGAUGCGGUUAAUACCGCCGUAGGAAAGAAGAAUAU
rnacentral:ncRNA from 1 species